rnacentral:rRNA from 1 species
AUUGAACGCUGGCAGCAUGCCUUACACAUGCAAGUCGAACGGUAACAGGUCUUCGGAUGCUGACGAGUGGCGAACGGGUGAGUAAUACAUCGGAACGUGCCCGAUCGUGGGGGAUAACGAAGCGAAAGCUUUGCUAAUACCGCAUACGAUCUACGGAUGAAAGCAGGGGACCGCAAGGCCUUGCGCGAACGGAGCGGCCGAUGGCAGAUUAGGUAGUUGGUGGGAUAAAAGCUUACCAAGCCGACGAUCUGUAGCUGGUCUGAGAGGACGACCAGCCACACUGGGACUUAGACACGGCCCAGACUCCUACGGGAGGCAGCAGUAGGGAAUUUUGGACAAUGGGCGAAAGCCUGAUCCAGCCAUGCCGCGUGCAGGAUGAAGGCCUUCGGGUUGUAAACUGCUUUUGUACGGAACGAAAAGACUCUGGUUAAUACCUGGGGUCCAUGACGGUACCGUAAGAAUAAGCACCGGCUAACUACGUGCCAGCCGCCGCUGUAACAC